ACUAUCAGCACCUGUCGACGAUGGAUUCUCGCGCCAGAUGCGCUCUUAGAUCGCGAUAAGCUUCGUGUGACACAUUGUAAGACCAUAAACAUGUGGCGAGACGUCGAAAUUACACGUGUGUCUUCGUCCACUUUCUUUGAAUCGCUUAAUUUCGUCGAGUGUGCAACAAGAAUGGGAUCUUGGAGAGUAUUGGAGGCAUGCCGGUCUGAUAAGACAUUUUGACGCCUCGAGAGACCGUUCAAGCGUUAUGAUAAUCGCGCCUACCGUUAUCCAAUCAAUUAUGCUUUAACGAGGCAGACGAAACAAAGAAGACCGCGAGGAAUUAUCCGCAGCCGUGGAAAAGGAAAUGCAUCCAUCGCCGCGUAUGCUACCGCACUUAAUAACGUUGCCUGUCCUUUCUCUUCAAAUGUUGCAAUGGCCGAUCUUUCUUUUCCGUUGAUGCAAUUCUCGUAAAAUUCCUCGAGUGACUGUAAAUUCUAACGAGAAGCCUCCAAAGAAGCUGACAGUAACGAUCGCGCAGAGUGUGUAGAAUGGACCAUUUCGCAAGGUAGAGAAGUUUCCUCUUCGUGAGUCGUUAAAAGCCCACAGAGUCCUGGCACCUUGUUCAAGGGAAUCAAGUUUCAUCGAGGAAGGAACUCGAAGCAGAAUCUUGUUUCGCUAUAUAUAAUACAGAGUGUGGAGAAUGGUCCACUUCACGAUGUAGAGAAGUUUCCUGUUCGUGAGUCGUGAUAUCUUGUUCAAGGGAAUCAAGUUUCAUCGAGGAAGGAACUCGAAGGAGGCUCUUGCUUCAUUAUAUAGUCCGAAGUCGUGACAUCUCGUUCAAAUAGGAUCGAGGAAGCAACUCAAGGCAGGAUCCUGUUCCCCUGUAACAUUUUCAUCAGCGUGAUCGAUCCUAAAUUUUGUCAGGUCGUUUUCACGAGACAACGCGACUCCCCUCCUCGGCGCUCGUCUCCCUUCAAUCGCGCAACUUUGCAGCAAAGGUCGUACAGCGCAUCUACGUACAUGAGAGGUAACGAGGAGUCGUUCUGUCGCAAUACCGAGACAACGCGAGUCACGAUCGGUCAAGAGAGUUUCGAGCUCAAAUGCCGCUCGCGGGCGAAAUCGCAUUUCCGCAACCAGACAUUUCUUCUGACCGGGGUAUCUGCCUCCCCCUCAUCGGGGAAAGUCGGUCAGCAAUUAAAUUAUUCGCAGAAAUUGCAUUAAUUUUCUCACUAUCGUUAUCGAACCCGUAGAAUUAGUUUAAAAAUGCACAAAGCAGUUAAUUACGCCUAAAAGAUGCUUUUACAAUUAGUUUCUGCGAUUUAAUGGACACAGAAAGUUCAUCCUCGUCGAAGGCUUAUUUACACUGCUCCGUGUAGAUAAUUAUGUACGCGUCUUCGGGGUAAAAUGAUUACGGAUUGCGCAACGCGUCUCGAUAUUUAAAAUAAUCAAAUUAUUCACGUAUCAACGCGCAUUGCGACACUGUUCCGUUGCGUGUUGCGUAAUAUAUUCAAUUAAUGUUCGAAGAUGUGACGCAACCCCAAAUGAACGAGCCGUCAUCAUCCAACGUUUACGCGCUUUUCAAGCGUGACGCGAGGAAGGUAUGACCUACAGUUAACAUCCAAGAAAAUGGUCGCGCAAACUGCCUAGGAAUAGUCCUCGAAUUACUCGAAUAACUCGUACAUUUUUUGAGGUAUCACGAGGAACGUUGAUUGGCUGCGUUUCAUAGCGUUUUCUCGACGAAUCGAGUGGAUCAACAACUUCCAAGCAAGGGGUGGAGAAAAGGGAGGAGCGUCUAACGCAUGUGUUUGAUCGAGACGCCCAUUAUGUACUCUGCAUGAUAUUCCCAUGUGAAUGGAGCGUCGUCACGUUCUAGAGAAUGGCUGUUUUAUUAAUAAAGUUCACGAGUGGAUCAGGUUCAAGUAUAUUUCUAAAUGGUCCUCGAAUGGGAUAACUUUUCUACCAGGAAAACAAGCUCGACCGUCAUCGACAGGGUCGCAGAGACCAGUUUAUCGAUGAUAUAUGACGGAGCUUGUGAUUAAUAUAGCGAUAAAUUAAUGCAAAAGAUAUCACGUUGUCUUUAAUAAACUUGUUCCGACCACUUAAUGGGAUUAUCAUAUCGUAAAUGUCAUUGGUUCUGGGGUUUCCUUAAGCCAGGAUCUGGCAGCUUUCAAAUUGUCUGUAAAGUUCAGUUAUCUGUAAGAAGGAUUAAUAAAUAAUCGUUUGAGGAGGGUAAACUUUCCGUAUCCAUUAAAUUGAGGAAACUUCUGCCAUUUUAAUUAAUUGCUUUGGAUAUUUUUAAACCGGAAUGAAAGGGUGAAAAUUAAUACAGUUUCUGUGGAGUAAGACGACAAAUUUGUCAACAAAGUAUUUUAAUUUUAUUAAUUAUCAUUUGUAAUGUGAUAAUAAAAAUUUCGUUUCUACUGUUUGGACUUUUGCAGAGUUUCAUCGGUAGAUCGUUCGAACUUUGCGCUCGACAGUCUCCUGGUACGUCUCACUGAGGUCUGCACAUCCUGUUGGUAUAAUUAUCUUAUCGAUUGGCGUCGUUCCCUCGUUGAGGAAAUUCCUGAUGAAUUACGAGGAUCAAUCCGCGUCGAUGCGUGUACAUUCACAGGUGGUUCGACCUCGUCACCUUGCAGCAAAGCGGCUAUUUUACCGUUGACACCCACGAAAUAAAUCAAUCGACGCGGUCGUGUGCAGCGUGAAGAAGGAUAAUCGAAGGACUGCUAGUUGGCGGCAGGGAAUCAACGAUGGAACGCCGAUUCAGAAAGUUCACGCGAGCUGACGAGCUGGCGAGGAUCUUCUGGGAGUUCUUCGAGAGGGUUGGAUGAGGGCUAUAAAACGUGGAUCUUGCACACUGGACGUUGUCAUGCAAGUUGUAAUAAAAUGGGGACCAAUGAGCUUUCCAUUUGUCAGUUUCAUGUACAUAGAUCAUUAGAAGCAGGAAGUAGCAGAAGUAGGAGUUAAAAUGUAGGAAAGAAAGUAUCCAUUCUGGAGGACUCCACAGGAAUUGGUAACAUCUGUUGACAUUUGAAAUGUGCGGUGAAAUUGCGCAAUACAAUAACUGGAAGGUCUAAAGAGAGAAAGCGUAUUAAGGAGCCGGUUACAAAGCCGAUGCGUUUGAGCGCUAAUUGAAUAUCGGUGAAAUUUCGCCAGUUGGAACUCCUUAGUGACUGCCAUGCGACCAGGGGCGGAUCUGCCAUCAAAUUAACGAAGCGUCGUCAUCCCAUAAAUUCGUGGUGAAAACUGUGUCAAUAUUUCAUAAAAGAACUAGAGAAAUUUUAUAGCGACGGUAUAAUGACUGUGUCGGAAAGGUGGGAGUCCGUGAUCAUGGUUGUCCCCCCUCGCGGAAGUCAUCGAUAAUUUAUCCCGCACGCGAACGAAAUAAAUCGAUCGACAGCGUCUGGUGCUGGCGAAUGAUUCAUAACGUUGAACCGGGACGACAGUUUCGAGCGAAGGCGAACUAAGGAGUUGUUCCACGAAUAAGUCAGACAGCGUAUACACCACGAAUUGGAAAUGAAAAUUGAAUAUCGUGACGAACGAUAGACAACUGGUAGAAGGGCGGAUAUCAGUCGAGCACCACAAGGAUUCGUGGUUAACGAGAGGUUGCUCAUCCUCGAACACGAUGGACUUCGCCGUAAAGCUCGAUUCGUGACGAAAUAUCCGUGGGAACCGUCCAAGGAAACGUGGUUUGGUAGCCACAGUCCAGUAUCUUGUUUUACAAGAGAGCUAACCCAACCUAGUUUUCAACCUAAUCAAGAUCCUAUAAAAAGGUUCAUACCACACAGCUUGUUUUCUCAUUUACAUCUAUCUAGAAUGACCUAUAACCGAUUUAACAACCUCAAAAUCUAUCUGCAUGUACUAUUCUACUCUUAAGGUGGCUGUUUCGAGAUGGUCACGUUCAAAAUCAAAAUCUCAGUAACGCCGUGGUAUGUUCUCUAAGAGUCUGUGUUAAAAUUACAAAAUCUUAAUAUCGUUUUCCAUAAAAUUGUGUUGGUGAAUAUAAAUCAAAACAGGAUCGUACGAUCCAUAUUCAAUCAAAAAACGAUCAAGAGAAGUUUCGUUGAAAUCCCCUAUUAAAUAAAUCCACGGAACAACCACCUUAAGGAAUUUAUCGCUCACGAGGGUUCAUGAUAUAAUAGUUUCCUCUUCGCUGUAUAAAUCGGGAUAGUCUCGAUUUCUGACACCUCUGAAAUAUUCUCGUUCAUCCCCCAGGAUUUUACACUCUACGAGAGUCCCAUGAAAUUUA